UACUGGAGCCCAGUGGGGCAUCUAUGAUGCAUUCAAAGUUUUUGUGGGACUGCCAACCACUGGUGGUGCUGCUCCUGCUGCUGUCCCCGCUGCUGCUGCAACUGAGCUUGCAAAGGUGUAAUUUUGGAAAUCAGCAGAUUUAUCGUGUUGUGUUGUGGAAGCUGAGAAAACAAUAGGGAUAAUAAACGCAGGAUUGAUGACUCUUAAGCCAGUGGAGAUUAUUCUUUUACAUUCAGAAGUUAUUUUCACUAAUUUUUCUCUCUGGAGGGAUGGUUUUGGCUUCAUCCUUC
rnacentral:misc_RNA from 1 species